rnacentral:rRNA from 1 species
AACGAACGCUGGCGGCAGGCCUAACACAUGCAAGUCGAACGGGCGUAGCAAUACGUCAGUGGCGGACGGGUGAGUAACACGUGGGAAUAUGCCUUUCGGUUCGGAACAACUCGGGGAAACCCGCGCUAAUUCCGGAUACGCCCUUACGGGGAAAGAUUUAUCGCCGAAAGAUUAGCCCGCGUCCGAUUAGCUAGUUGGUGAGGUAAAGGCUCACCAAGGCACCGAUCGGUAGCUGGUUUGAGAGAACGACCAGCCACACUGGGACUGAGACACAGCCCAGACUCCUACGGGAGGCAGCAGUGGGGAAUCUUGGACAAUGGGCGCAAGCCUGAUCCAGCCAUGCCGCGUGAGUGAUGAA